CUAGUAUGUAAAUACCGGACACAGGGGAUCCCUGUAACCAUUAUGCACCCCUGUGCUCUCUGCCAGUUUGCAUCAAGAAGUCCUUGGAUCAGAUGUUCUAGUCAUGUUCUGCCACAGACUUGCUGUGUAACUUUGCACAAGUCAUCGCUUUGGUUUCCCUGGAAAAUGAAGACGACACCAACUGGAGCAGGGUGUUGGAGGCAUAAUUCAUUAAUGGCUGUUAACAUUAGUGCUAUGAGAUCAGGCCGCUAUUAUAGUGAAGAGUACUAUUAUUUUAUUUGAAUCAGCAUUUAUAAUAUCAACCCUCUGACUUGUAUCUUCAGCUGGCGAACAUCAGUUUAAUACCUUCAUUGACUUCACAAGAGCUAUGGUGAUUUGCACCAGCUGAGGAACUGGUCCUAAUCAACACCUCAGAAUUGUUAAUCUAUUCUUUGGGAGAUAAUCAGAAAAAGUCUCCUGAGAUCUACACAGCUCAUGUAGAGGGACGUGGAGCUACAGCUAUGAAAAUUAAAUGGCCAAAGAAAUCAAAACAACCAGAUACGAUUCCUCCAACCAUAACAAAUUGCCCAUGGGACAUUACCAUAACCACCGAGACUGAUCCAGUACAGGUCAGCUGGGAACAACCUGAAAUUAGCGACAACAGUGGGGUGUUUACCUCAGUAGCUUCAAUAUCCAGUGGCUCCUGUUUCCGGUAUGGAACUCAUCAAGUGCAAUACACCGCCCAUGAUGAAGCAGGAAAUGAAGCCUCCUGCCAGUUUAAAGUUACCAUCCAAAAGCCAGAUCUUUCGUGCAACGCCCAACCUCCCACUGAUGGGUCUUUGGCUUGUGGAAUGUUAUCUUAUCCUGGCAGUGGAAUGAACAAAUGGCAGUUUUGUGUACCAUUCUGCAUGAAGAGCACUGGUUUCCAUCGGAGAGCAUGGUCAGUGUUUUUCUGCCAGUCUUCUCAGUCUGGGACAAGUUGGUUUCAUUUGGAUGAAGCCUGGCAAAUGACAAAAGCUCACAUGCCAGAGACUUGCACAGAUACUGGACCACCUGUAGUGAUCUCCUGUCCUCAGAACAUUGAGAUAGAAACCAAAAAAGGAAACCUCUACUGGAAUGACUUGCCUGAAUUCUCUUGGAAGGAGCCUGUGUUUGAAGACAACUCCAGGGGUCCACUGACAAUCACAAAAGGAGGGUCCAAUGUUAAUAAUGGAGACAAACUGGCAUAUGGCCAAUAUUCAGUGGAAUAUAUAGCAACAGAUCUUUCAGGAAACCAAGCCAAAUGUUCCUUUGAGAUCUCUGUGAAAUCAAUUGCAUGCACAAUGGAAUUGCCGGAGCAUGGAGCUAUAGUCUGUGGCUAUCCUUCGGUGGACGGCAUGGACCUCAUGACCAUUGACUGUAUUGUACUGUGUCAAAGCAAAUACCAGUUUAGCAGGGAUCCAUAUCCAAUAUAUGCAUGCUCAGAGGAGGGACUUUGGUGGACCUUCACAAGCACAUUCACGCCUAUUGGCCCAAAUUUGCCAAGUUUAAACCAUAAGUGCCAAGGUAAGAAAGUUUAAAUGAAUGAAAAACUUUGUACCUAAUUAAAAAUUCUUAUUUGCAUGUUAUAUUUUCACCACUUUGAUGAGCCUGAUGGCAUGUAAAUUAUAUUUCAAGGAUUCAUUAAAAGUAAUUUUCCUUUUUUCUAUAAACAACACUUGUCAGAUUUCUCAAAUCAGCACUGAAUUAAACUGAGGUGGGUUGAGUUCAGCUGCUUGAUUUACUUUAUUACAGAUUUAAAAUCUGCUGAGGGAGUAUAGAUAUUUCACAUUAAUUAUGUUGAUGAAGAUCUGUGUUCUGAUUACCAACCCUGAGUCUUUAUACAGAAAAUGGAGACAUAUCAAUGAGAUACCAUACCACUCUCUAACCGGUGAGGGAUUACAGGAAUAAAGCACCAUUGCUUUAUUAACUGAUGACUUUU
rnacentral:lncRNA from 1 species